GACGAACGCUGGCGGCGUGCUUAACACAUGCAAGUCGAACGGUGAAGGGAUCAGCUUGCUGGUUCUGGAUGAGUGGCGAACGGGUGAGUAACACGUGAGUAACCUGCCCCCUUCUUCUGGAUAACCGCAUGAAAGUGUGGCUAAUACGGGAUAUUCUGCGCCUGCUGCAUGGUGGGUGUGGGAAAGAUCUUGUUUCGGUGGGGGAUGGGCUCGCGGCCUAUCAGCUUGUUGGUGGGGUGAUGGCCUACCAAGGCGGUGACGGGUAGCCGGCCUGAGAGGGUGGACGGUCACACUGGGACUGAGACACGGCCCAGACUCCUACGGGAGGCAGCAGUGGGGAAUAUUGCACAAUGGGCGCAAGCCUGAUGCAGCGACGCCGCGUGAGGGAUGGAGGCCUUCGGGUUGUGAACCUCUUUCGCCAGUGAAGCAGGCCUGUCCCGUGUGGGUGGGUUGACGGUAGCUGGAGAAGAAGCGCCGGCUAACUACGUG
rnacentral:rRNA from 1 species